UACGAAGGUGGCGAGCGUUACUCGGAAUUACUAGGCGUAAAGCGCAGGUAGUUGGUUAGGUAAGUCUGUAAUGAAAUCUCCCGGCUUAACUGGGAGGGGUUUAUGGAUACUGCUUGACUUGAGUGUGGGAGAGGGUACUGGAAUUCCAGGUGUAGCGGUGAAAUGCGUAGAUAUCUGGAGGAACACCAAUGGCGAAAGCAGGUACCUGGCCCAAUACUGACGAUGAGCUGCGAAAGCUAGGGGAG
rnacentral:rRNA from 1 species